CUGGGCACAGCUGCAAAUAAAUUUUUAAAGGGACCAUUUUUGUUCCAGUCCCGGGGAUGGGAGGCAGUGGGCCCCCCAGACGCAGGCCAGCAGCUGUUUCCCGCUGGUUGGUGGUGAACGUGGCCUCGGCAAGGAGCCUCAGCGGGGAGCAGUGCGGCUGCAUCUGGGCCCAGCACCUGUUUCUCACCCUGGCGAGGAAGGGCACAGCGACAAUGGCUUUAAUCAGGAAAUGCCUCUCUGAAAUGGCUUCGACUUCCAAAAGAAGAAUGCCGACAUCUUCUGGAUAUGACGGUCCACUUUCCAUUGAGAAGGAUGUGUUUCGUAUCUAAAAUGUGACACAGAGAUAUAUUUAGAAUACAAGACACCUGGAAAUAUUUAAAUAAAUCAGCUGCUUCAUGAAAACGAGGAGAGACACACUGC